rnacentral:rRNA from 1 species
CCCUUAGACGUUCUGGGCCGCACGCGCGCUACACUGACGAAGGCAACGAGCUUUCCUUUACCGAAAGGUACGGGUAAUCUUUUGAAACUUCGUCGUGCUGGGGAUAGAUCCUUGCAAUUUUUGAUCUUAAACGAGGAAUGCCUAGUAAGCGCAAGUCAUCAACUUGCGUUGAUUACGUCCCUGCCCUUUGUACACACCGCCCGCCGCUACUACCGAUUGAAUGGUUUAGUGAGGCCUUCGGAUCCGCGACUCGUUUUGUGGAGAAGUUGGACAAACUCAGUCAUUUAGAGGAAGUAAAAGUCGUAACA